rnacentral:rRNA from 1 species
UACGGAGGGUGCAAGCGUUAUCCGGAUUCACUGGGUUUAAAGGGUGCGUAGGCGGGUAAGUAAGUCCGCGGUGAAAUCUCUGAGCUUAACUCAGAAACUGCCGUGGAUACUAUUUGCCUUGAAUAUUGUGGAGGUGAGCGGAAUAUGUCAUGUAGCGGUGAAAUGCUUAGAUAUGACAUAGAACACCAAUUGCGAAGGCAGCUCACUACACAAUCAUUGACGCUGAGGCACGAAAGCGUGGGGAUCAAACAGG